rnacentral:rRNA from 1 species
CAGUCGAACGAAGCACUUGAGAAUGAUUCUUCGGAAGAUUUCUCUUGUGACUUAGUGGCGGACGGGUGAGUAACGCGUGGGUAACCUGCCUCACACAGGGGGAUAACAGUUGGAAACGACCGCUAAUACCGCAUAACCCGCUAGGGCCGCAUGGCCCGGACGGAAAAGAUUUAUCGGUGUGAGAUGGACCCGCGUUGGAUUAGCUAGUUGGCAGGGUAACGGCCUACCAAGGCGACGAUCCAUAGCCGGCCUGAGAGGGUGAACGGCCACAUUGGGACUGAGACACGGCCCAAACUCCUACGGGAGGCAGCAGUGGGGAAUAUUGCACAAUGGGGGAAACCCUGAUGCAGCGACGCCGCGUGAGUGAAGAAGUAUUUCGGUAUGUAAAGCUCUAUCAGCAGGGAAGAAAAUGACGGUACCUGACUAAGAAGCCCCGGCUAACUACGUGCCAGCAGCCGCGGUAAUACGUAGGGGGCAAGCGUUAUCCGGAUUUACUGGGUGUAAAGGGAGCGUAGACGGCUAAGCAAGUCAGAAGUGAAAGGCUGGGGCUCAACCCCGGGACUGCUUUUGAAACUGUUUGGCUAGAGUGCUGGAGAGGUAAGCGGAAUUCCUAGUGUAGCGGUGAAAUGCGUAGAUAUUAGGAGGAACACCAGUGGCGAAGGCGGCUUACUGGACAGUAACUGACGUUGAGGCUCGAAAGCGUGG